rnacentral:lncRNA from 1 species
AAGAGUAUAACCCAAAGGAAGUGAUAGCUUUUUUGACAAUUCAACAUAGCCUCCCCUAGUGAAAACAUACCCUAUAGGCGAGAUGAAUAACAGAGUAAAAGAAAGCAUGCAUAGAACAUUUAGCAGUUGUAUAUACAAAACUUUACUAAACGUCAAUGUAAAUGCUGUCUCUCUCAAUUAUGUUAGCACAUAUUUCACCUGAGAAAACUGCAUCUCCGGCCUCGGUGAACUCAAAUUUAGCAUCCAUUCCUGCAUCAUACUUCGAAGCAACUGCAUCCUGGAAGUAAGUUCCUUGACGAACUUCCCAGCCAUUCAAUGAAUCUGCGGAUUUGAACUUUGCAAGCAAGAGCUUGCUUUUGCUGCUUUUUCCGGCUCGUAGUUGAGCUAGUUUGUUGUUGUAGUCCUGCAAUUUUGUAAUGUAUAAUUACUCAAAGACAUGACAAGGGAGGUUCGAUUCAGCUGAAAAUGAAUGUGAGACACUACCUGAAGGGCUUUGGUGAGAUUAGAAACCCCUUGGUGAUCAACUCUGAAAAGAUCCCCAGUGAUGGAAGAACGAGCAGUGGCACAAUAUAUGAUUUUGUUGCAGCCCACCACCGCUGCCUUAAGGGUAGAGGGAUCUCCCACAUCCCCUAUCAUGAUCUCCACUGACCUGGGAAGCAUGUUCACAACUUCCUCAUCUGCCUUCCUCACCAAAGCCUGCAUUAAUUAAUUAAUUAAUAUACUAAGAAUUAAGGAAUCAAGAAUAUUAACCCCAAUAAUAAGGGGGAGGGAGAAGAAAGACCUUAACAGUGUAACCCCUGAGCAUAAGUUUCCUAACAACAAUGCGGCCAAUGCGACUGGUGGCACCAACAACAAGAACAGUGGUGUUCUGGGCACCAGGGAUAGCAAACUCACACAUGGGACCUUCCCUGAUGAGCAAUGCAUCAAGAGCUUCCUUGUCAUCUGCACGUGUUGUUCUUGAUAUCUGUCCCAACCCUGAGAACUUCCUCCACACCUCAUCGAAUAUCUGCCUUGACUUCCUUCCAAGUCCAACAGGGUUUACAUCCUCCAAAUUCAGUGGUUGCUGCUUUGUUGUGCUUUCCUUGUUAUGUUCUUUCAUAUUCUCUGUCUCUGUCUCCGUCUCCUUCCUGUCCUUGAUUGCUCUCACCACAACUAAUGUGCUCUUCUUGUGGCUGUUCUUCACUGUUGAGAUAGGGAGAGACGUGUAAAUCUUGCGGUGUGAGGUGAAGUUGAAGUGAUUGCUGUUCGUCAAACUGGCACUCGCAUUUGUCGUUGGAGUCACACUUGCACUUGCUGCUGCUGCUCUCAUCUUUUCUGUAAAUUCUUGCUACCACUGAUUAAUUAUUACUGACUAAAUUUGGUUUAUGAUAUAAUCAACAAAUGAUUAUCCAAGUCUCUUCAACAUGCAAUAUAUAGUAGGGUAGCUACUCCUCUUCUGUCUAUGGCAGAACUCGGACAACUGUUCGUUUUCUUCUGACAACUUAGAAAAAAAUACUUAAUUAUAUGCAUAUAUGCAGAAAUUGAAUUUAUGAGUGGAUAAUUGUGACAAGAAAGAUUACAAAAACCAGGAAAAACAAAAGGGGAAAAAAAUGGUUGGUUGGUGUUUCAUGUUUGAGGCUUGAGAGAUCAAAAUCAUAAGGGCAAAUAAAUGAUAAAAAGAAAGAAAAAAUGGAGACCACAUAAUAUUAUUUGAGGUUUUUCCGACAGCUGCAAUUAGAGCCACCAAACCUGCCACGUUCACAUCCCAUUUUCCUCUCAUUCUUUUUUUUUUUUUUUUUUUGAAUACUGACCUCAUUUUUCUUUAUCAAAUUUUCUCCUGUGGCCUUGAUUAGAGUUAGUGAAAUGAAUCCGUGUACCUUUCAUUUCUAGCAGCAGCUACUAAUCCCAAUAAAUUAAAAUGUUGUUUUCACUCUGCUCAUGAGAAUACAUUAAUACAUAUAUAUGUAUAGAUUUGGAGAAUAACGAAUUGGUGCAAAUUUGGAGAAUUCUACUUAUUUCAACAUCUUUAAAUAACAUGACGUUCUACAAAAAGGGUGGUCAAGUAUCUGAGCUCUCAACUCUGAAGGGGGAAAACUUAACAGGGUGUGGGUAGAGGCAAAGAAGAAGAGGAGGAGAGAAGAAGUUGAAACUAAUCUCCUCCUCUGCCUUUUUCCCCACCCACACUCCUUUGUAAGAACAUCAUUUUAAACAGAUUAGAACAAUUACAUGGGUACAGUCGCCGCCACCGAGAAUGGCAUUUUAAACAAAAUACAAAGAUAAUAAAAUAAAAGAAUCACCAAAAUGGGCCAAUGACUAACACACAUCACAUCAGUACUCCUAUAUAUUCUGACUCAGGGAAAUAGUUAGCUGCUGCUGCUGCUGCUGCUGCUGCUGAACUGGGAAAGCUUUCUGUCAAUGAAUUUCACUCGCUUUCUUCAACAGGGAAACGUAAAGCAAGUCACCCCACGCAUGAAUAAAAGAAUCAUUCCCUAACAGCUGUGAUGCUAAUCCAAUAUGUCGUGCUAUUGUAUAUUUUUCCCCUUCUGAACCAACAACCAAUAUCGGAGGAAGUUUAACUCUCUCACUUCCUCAUUUCAAGCUGUGUGACACCUCAGAGCAGCACAUAUCUAUUGUCCCCUUCUCUCCAAAAACAACCAUAUUAUAUACAGAAAAGGUUACCCAGAAUUGCCAGCAACCUCAGCAGCUCUCUGCCUCAUCAUCUCCAUCACAGCAGCCCUUCGUCGUGAAUCAGACUGCUGCUGAAGUCUCCUCAAAUGUUCUUUCAGAUCCCUGGACAAAUAUACAUACAUACAUACAUUUAUGAGAAUUUAUAAUAUAAUAUUCCCCAAGGAAGUUGUAGAUUUUAAGAUAAGGUUGAUGCAUAAACCUGCAGCGUGGAACAUGGCACUCUGAUUCUUUGCAAGCCCGAGCAUGAAGUUGAAGGAGAUACCACAUCUUUUUACACAGAACACAGCCCCCAGAUGCACGAGUUUUGCAUUGUAUCCCAUGACGGAAAAGACCUUUCACCUUGCGACAGUUAGGAUAUUGGCAAUGUGGAGAGCGGCAUUGCGAAGCAUGCACCAGAAGAUCAAGCAUUUUCCUUAGCUGCAAUGUCAAAUAAACAAUUACAUCAGGCACUAUAGGACACGAGGAUUUUAGCAGAAAAAUGACUCAGUACAUUGGCAGAUGAAAAUAUCAUGGAGUGUUGGAUCAUCAAGUUAAGUUUCACAGUAGUCAAUCCUAACAUUCAUUCUUCAACAUAGUGUAAUUAUCAGCACCAUAACAUCUAUAUUCCACAAAAUCAUUUGUGAUAGAAAAUCUCACAACACAUAAAUGAAGUCAGAUUGUUCAGAUUCUUCUGGUUAUGAAUAGUAUAGAUCAUUUGAUAGGGUCAGGGAAGUACACUGAAUUUGUUUAGAGAAAUUGCAAUCACUUGUAACUAGGUACAUGCCAAUUGACAAAUACUUCACAACAUCUUCCACUGCUUAUUCCAUAAGAUUAAGUAAAGCAACUGGUUCACAGCUCUUCAUAUAUAACAAAUUAACAAACAAAGAACCGUUUACCAAGAACAAGCAGCUGUAUUUUCAAGAUACGAGUCAGAACUCUAAAGACUAUAAAAAAAGGUUUUGUACCUGCAGAACCCUCAAUUGCCUAGCUUCUUUGUUCUGUGCAUCGCGCUCAGCCAAGGAUGGAUGAUUCGUCAACUUAUGAGGAUGAUCCAUACCCCCAUCCUUUUGAUAACAAGAAUUGCAUACAUCAUAAUCAGGGCAAACCUCACAACGCCAACCUUGACCCGUUUCGAUGUCAAGAUGGCAUAUAUUGCACGUUGUCACAAAUGCAGGAGCAGUUGGAUUAUGAAGAUGGUAAAGGACCAUCAUUGAGGAAUGUUUAGCCCGGCGUAAAGUGUCAUAUUGAUAAUGGUUUCCUUGGCAAAGACUCAAAAAUGCCUGUCUUGUGUCAAAAAACUCACUUUCAAGAAUUUCAUCUUUAUCCUUUGUGUCAACAGGUACAUCAGUGAUUUCAUCCUGCAGAAUUUAGCAGUGUUAUUUUAUAUUCAAAGAAAAGGAAAAGACUUCUGCUCAGAACCCAUACAGGAUUUCAAAGUAACGACAUUUUAAUCUAAAUUAGAUAGAAGUGUUCCUAGGACCAAGCAACUUACAGGAUAGAGUGCAUGCUUUUCCCUUUGGUUGAUAGGAUGCCGCUCUCUUUCUUCACGUUUCUGUUCUGCUUCAUAACACCUAAGGAAAUACAAGCACAGAAACCAAAAUUUUAAAAAUCAUCACAAGAGUUAAGGAAAUGUAAAGCACCUUUUCAAGAGCCAUCAAUUGAAACAAGACUAAAACCUGCUUGUUCUAUUGUAACCCACACGAAAAAAACACUACGUAGAUUUUGAAAUCUGUUUUGUACUACCUGUCAAAUAAUGGUUGUUUACUAAGGCCUUAAAUAGCUUGUACACAUAUAUAGAGCUUAUAAGGAAAUAAUGCUAUUGUAAUUCUGCAUUUAUUCACCCAAGUAAUUACCAUUCAUUCUCGUUUACUGUUACACGAUGUUAAGGUUACAAUAGCUAGUGAAUACAGAUGUUCAGGUUACAUAAAAUUUUCACUAAACAGCAAUACUGGUGAAGAUUAAAGACUCUUACUUGUCACAAAUCUGAAAGUUUUUGCACUGCUUGCAAACCCAACGGGUGCCUGAUACCAUUAGAUUACAGCAAUGCGAACAGCAAUGCUGUAAAUGAACCAUGAUAAAGUCUUCCUUCAUCGGGCAAAUUGUCUCACCAAGCUGGAGAGAUAUAUUUUAGUAAGAAGAAAAUCAAUUAUAACUGCUUAAUAUGAAGACAUCAUAACAAGCUCCAAGGUUCUGGUGGCAGAAAUUGCACAGUAACACAAAUAACAACAUCAUGAUAAACAGCAGCUGAUUGGCAAACAAUGUUAAGCUGUAAGAAAUAGGGGAUAGGAAUUACUUUAUGCAUCAGUAGCAGAUCCUUUGAUGCAUUACCAAAAAGAUCUGCCUGGCCAGAUGCUUUUAGGGCCCUUUUUGUAAUGGUCUUUUUGGUAGUUCCCUUCUUAUUUUGUUUUCUCCCAUCUUCUUCUUGAUUAAGCUGAUAAAUUAAAUCCUCAGCGGCACCAGGCCAAUAAUCCCCAUCAAAGUAGGGCAGCCUAGCUGCUGUAACCUUUGCCUUAGAUUCACCACUAGAUAUGAAGAAAUGGUCAUACAAAUUAAUGAGGUCAGCAACAAUAUUUUCCUUAGCAGCUUUUCGUAACAUUGCAAGAUACCUGGAAACCAAAAGACAUUCAAUGAAGCACAUUAUAAAGUUAGAGAGGAAAAAAGUAAAGCAACCUCUGAAUCUCUCCUUGGAAGUUUUUUUUUGCUCACCAUUCCCGGAGCUUGUCAGAUUUUGGUGUUUUCUGGAUUUCUGGAUGGCAAUACAAUAUAUAAUCCUCACCCUUCAAAGGAGGGCAAGCCCAUAUAUAGCAGCUUGUAAAACCCCUUUUCUUGCAGUAUUCAAGGUAUCCAAUCUGCAGAAUAAAAUAGGUAUAAUUGCCAAAAACUCCAAUUACAAUUCCUAACCAAAUGAAUUGUUCACAUUCUUGGAUCAAUUGCAAAGAAGAUAGAUAAGUAUUUGAAGCUAACCAAAAUUUCAUGGUAAACAAAUGUACGAAGAGCCUCUCCUGUCACUGCUUUAAUCUCAGGUCUGAAGUACUUCACAGAAUCUAGAUAAGAAAGAUAGACACGGCGCUGAUUUGGAAACUGAGCUUCUGAUCCGAAUUCCUGAACAUACAUGCCAAAUAGGCAUACCUCAACACCUUCAAUCUUCUGAAAUAACAAAACAACCUGAAAGAAAAAAUUCCAGUGAAUUAUUUCUGAAAUACUUAGCACCCAGAGCUUUUCAAAAGCUUAAGUGUGUGUCUCAAACGUGGUAUCCUGCAAACCUUAGACUUGUACGGGAAUUCAGUUGGAUAAUUCUCCUCCCGAAAUAUCUCAAGAAAACGCUGCUUCACUUCCAACUUUUUGUCAACUGAUGAAACUACUCGAACUACAAGUGAUUCCGCUCCAGGAACCUAAAACAUAGAUUUUUAAAGAGAUUAGAUUGUGCCAAUUAACAUGCAUUGAUGCUCUAAUUUUCAAGCACCUAGGACAAACUCAAGUCUUCAAGGAAGCAAAAGUAGACAUUUACCAGAGUGGUGAACUAUUUAACAGUCAAAAAUGUGCUGUUGUGGGAACACUCAUCUAAAGUUUUAAACAAAGAGCAAGAAUGUCUGGCAACUAAAAAUACUCGCAACAGGAUCGGAGACACAGCCACACAUUGAAACAACCAGAUGGUAUUUCUGGAAACUAAUUGUUCUUACAAAUUAAUAAUGACAUCAGCUACAUAGAAACUUGUGUCAAUGUCACAAAAAAAGAGCUCGUGUAGUCAAUUGCCAGACAAUUUCAGAUCAUACUAUUUCCUAUAGUAUUUGUUAGUCCUGGAAUAGGGGCUUUAUUCUAGAGAAAAUCACAGACUUAGCACCUAUGUUUCAGUAGAAUUUCUAUUAGAAUUCUUAUGCUUCAUUUUUUUUCCCUUCUGAGUUCCUAUAUUUUUAAGAGAUUCAAUCAAUCAGAUACAUUUACUCCAGAAACACAUUUGAUGUGCCAUUGUCCAAAUACUCUUAUACAGGAUAUUGUCAGAACAAGUGUACUUGAUUGGUCUUUUUUUAAGAGAAUAGGAAUUCGUAUAAAAUUAAAGCAUAGGAACUCAAAUAAAAAUUUUAACAAACUCUAAAACAUGUCAAUUUCAUAAGCAUAUACUAUAUAAAAGUAAAACUCCUUUCCAUAUAACCUGCAUUGCAAGCAUAUUUUCAUCAUUACCAGUCCAUAUGUUAGCAGAAUAAAAAUAAACUCUAGAUUUUAAAAAUCAACCAGAAGAACACAGGCCACAGAAUGAUAUGUAACUCACGUCAUCAAAACUUUUCCCGUGCAUCUUGGCCCUAUCCUGUCUUUCCUGCUUCAGUUUCCUAAAUAACCUCUGCUCUAUAUGAUCACUAAGUAUUGUUCUAGGCAAAUCCUUAGCCCCCAGAACCGCACUUUGUGGUAAGGGCUUGCGCUCUCCUCUUUCAACCUCUGCUAUGUAGCAAUUAGGGCAAGUAUAUUCAGCUUGCCCACCAUCAUUCCUUCGACCAUUAAAUAAUGCACAUAUUUGGUGUUGCCAAGCUUCACAUUUGUCACAUUGAACCCACUGCACAAACAUGAAAGAGUAAAUUGUAAGUGAUUAUUUGAGAGUGCCAAGUAGCAGAAGGACAAAUGCAAGACCACAGACAAACGCACCCAUUCUUCAGUCUCCUCAUCAUUUCUCUUCUUCUCGAGUCUUGCCUUUAGAAUAGUAGUCCCGUCAGCAACAAUAGUAUCCCCACGAGCCUCGUUAUAGCAUGGAAUACAGAAAAAGUGUCGUGUAUCACCAGCUCCCAUGGUAUAAUACAUUGCAUUCCGCUUAAUGCGAGCACCACAGGGUGUACAGUAUAUUGGCGGUGGUUCAAAAGUAAGCUUUUCAACUGCACACAAUUGACAAGAGUUCUCACUCAUUGAAUGCUCCAUUGCUUGGUUCUUUUCUGCCUUUGCCUUACUCUGUACAAAGCAAAGUGGAAAAACAGAAACAAAAACUACUAUCAUCCAACCAAUAUAUUUACUAUGCGCAGAACAGAUGGUAAUUUUAAAACCCCAUGUGCAUGCAAAAGAGAACUGCAUCAUUACUAACAGCAAUAAAAGCCUGUAAGUAAGAUCAAAUGUUCUUUCAUGAUGAGCCUGUGGACAACAGAAGGUCAGUAGCACAUUAAGCAGCAACCAAGAAAGUCAUAAAGCUAGCACAUCAUAUAAAUACAAGGAGCUUAACACUCAUUCACUAUGAACAUACACACAUAAGUGAAACUAAGAUCUCAACAGCAAUCAGAACCAAACAUUCCAAAACAGUACAGUUUCAGUUGACAAAAUGGGAGGACAGGCUAAAAGUCUGAAUAUUUAAAUACACCAUAAAAUAUAGUACAGGUAGUGUAUGUCAAAGUAACUUCUAGCUUCAUGGUUGAGCAGAAAUUACACACCAUGUCAGGACAAGCCUUACUUCCUCUAGAGAUCAUCUAAUGAUGAUGUUUGAGAAAAUUGCAGGCAGAUAUUUUCACAAUUGUUUUUACAACAUACAGAAAACUGUAAAGUAAAUGAACUAAGGAGAAGCAUAAAAGUCAGAUGCAUAAUCUUACCUGGCCAACCCACUGCCUGAGGCCUAUUAUAUGCUCCCUCACUUGUUCAGGUGUAAACAGUUCAGUCAAUGAUACGCCCUUUAUUUUUGGCUUCCCAGACUUGGUUCCAGCUGGAUUUUCAGGAGGCUUUGUAGCAUUUUCUUGCUUAAGUGGAUCAGUUUCUUUCUCAACUUUAAGACUCUCCUGCUUGGCUAAACGGGCAGGCUCAUCAUGUACCAUGGAUUCAUCUGCAGGUAUUUGGCUGCUGACAUCAUCCAUGUUGUCCCUUUUCAUCUCACUAUCACUAGGACUUCCUUGUCUAGAACUUGCAGGAACUUCCAGCUUCACUUCCAUGUAUUCAGACUUAACUGGCAGUCUAUUAUCACCAUGUUUGUGAUCUUGGCGCUGGACAUCCUGGGCUAUAUGAGCAUCACUGACUGCAGAUGCUGAUACAGCAGAAACUUCACUCUCAGGUCUAAGUGUUUGGGAAGAUUGCUCUAUUUUCAUGCGCUUCGGAGAAGGUUGUAGAUCUUCAGUGCUUUCAACAAUUGGAGUUCUUGAAAUCAGUCGAGCUGCAUUUUCUCCAUUAUCAGUGCCUUUGCUUGGCAAACCAGAAUCUGAGGCUGGAGGUGUGCGUGUCUUCAUUUGUAUCUUUAUUUGGGCCUCUAGAUACUUUCUAACAGGAAUACAAACAGGGCAACAUGCAUCUCUGCAGUGCCUAAAGUGAUGAAUUAAUAUCCUGGUGUGCUGACAUCGAGGAUAUGGGCAUGGAGUUGACUUGCAUCUGUCCAUGUGCCUCAACAAAUUUUGGACAGUAGUGCAGUUAGGGUCAGGACAUUGACCUUCUGGGGCAGGACAUCUCCGGGCAUGCCGCAAGAACAAAAGCCACUUCUGCUGAUUUCUAAAUUGCCGGUCACGAUUAGCAUUUCCAGAUCUAUAGGUGACACCACUUGAAUUUUGGAGCUCUGAAGUGCUUCUAGGAGGUACUGUUUGACUGACAAUGGAUCCUUCUGAAGCCACAUUAUUACGCUGAGCUUCACCUUGCCCGGAUAUUCUCUGGUGGAAAUCCUCUUGGACAUGCUGCUCAUGUGACAUGCUACCUGGUACGCAAGUCCGGUCCUGAGAUUGUGGAUGCCAUUGAUCCUGCAAUGCCGAAUCUGAUUGUGUCCCAACAGAAAGGCUGUUAAAAUUAUUUUGAGACUCUGAAACCAACUGAUGUGGAUGCAACAUCUGUUGCAUUUGCUGUGAAUUUUGCGGC